CCUACGGGUGGCAGCAGUGGGGAAUAUUGCGCAAUGGGCGAAAGCCUGACGCAGCGACGCCGCGUGAGGGAUGAAGGUCUUCGGAUCGUAAACCUCUGUCAGCAGGGAAGAACGGUCACUGUGCUAAUCAGCAGUGAAUUGACGGUACCUGCAAAUGCAGCACCGGCUAACUCCGUGCCAGCAGCCGCGGUAAUACGGAGGGGGCGAGCGUUAAUCGGAAUUACUGGGCGUAAAGCGCUCGUAGGCGGUAUGUCAAGUCAAGGGGGAAAUCCCCGCGCUCAACGUGGGAACUGCCUUUGAAACUGGCAAACUGGAGUGUGUGAGAGGAUAGUGGAAUUCCAGGUGGAGGAGUGAAAUCCGUAGAUAUCUGGAGGAACAUCAGUGGCGAAGGCGACUAUCUGGCACAUAACUGACGCUGAGGAGCGAAAGCGUGGGUAGCAAACAGGAUUAGAUACCCCAGUAGUC
rnacentral:rRNA from 1 species